AGGUAAUAUGCAUGUCAAUUAUCAGAUUUUUCUCUUUCUUCAUUGAGUUCCUUUAUUGAUCUCUUAAAUCAAAGAUUAAUUGUUAAUGAAAUUUUGACUGCUUUGUGACACACAUGUAAAAUUUAAAGGGCAGGUAGCAUGGUACUACCAUAGUAGCUGUCCCUAGCUUAUAAAAUUGAGGUUUAUUGAGAAAGUGGUCGUGAUAAUUUGGAUAACUAUGAAUAAUAUAUUAUUAUCUGUUUCAGGUGCUACAAA
rnacentral:misc_RNA from 1 species